rnacentral:rRNA from 1 species
GACGAACGCUGGCGGCGUGCCUAAUACAUGCAAGUCGAGCGAAUCUCAGGGAGCUUGCUCCCUGAGAUUAGCGGCGGACGGGUGAGUAACACGUGGGUAACCUGCCUGUAAGACUGGGAUAACUUCGGGAAACCGGAGCUAAUACCGGAUACGUUCUUUUCUCGCAUGAGAAGAGAUGGAAAGAUGGUUCUGCUAUCACUUACAGAUGGACCCGCGGCGCAUUAGCUAGUUGGUGAGGUAACGGCCCACCAAGGCGACGAUGCGUAGCCGACCUGGGAGGGGGAUCGGCCACACUGGGACUGAGACACGGCCCAGACUCCUACGGGAGGCAGCAGUAGGGAAUCUUCCGCAAUGGACGAAAGUCUGACGGAGCAACGCCGCGUGAGCGAAGAAGGCCUUCGGGUCGUAAAGCUCUGUUGUUAGGGAAGAACAAGUACGAGAGUAACUGCUCGUACCUUGACGGUACCUAACCAGAAAGCCACGGCUAACUACGUGCCAGCAGCCGCCGUAAAAC